GAACGCUGGCGGCRUGCUUAACACAUGCAAGUCGAACGAUCCCUUCGGGGAUAGUGGCGGACGGGUGAGUAACGCGUGGGAACCUGCCCCGAGGUACGGAAUAACCCAGGGAAACUUGGGCUAAUACCGUAUGUGACCUGAGGGUGAAAGAUUUAUCGCCUUGGGAGGGGCCCGCGUCGGAUUAGGUAGUUGGUGGGGUAAUGGCCUACCAAGCCUGCGAUCCGUAGCUGGUCUGAGAGGAUGAUCAGCCACACUGGAACUUAGACACGGUCCAGACUCCUACGGGAGGCAGCAGUGGGGAAUAUUGGACAAUGGGGGCAACCCUGAUCCAGCAAUGCCGCGUGCGUGAUGAAGGCCUUAGGGUUGUAAAGCGCUUUCGGCGGGGAAGAUGAUGACGGUACCCGCAGAAGAAGCCCCGGCUAACUCCGUGCCAGCAGCCGCGGUAAUACGGAGGGGGCUAGCGUUGUUCGGAAUUACUGGGCGUAAAGGGCGCGUAGGCGGCGAUUUAAGUUAGGCGUGAAAGCCCCGGGCUUAACCUGGGAACUGCGCUUGAUACUGGAUUGCUUGAGGACGGGAGAGGGUAGUGGAAUUCCCAGUGUAGAGGUGAAAUUCGUAGAUAUUGGGAAGAACACCAGUGGCGAAGGCGACUGCCUGGCCCGUUUACUGACGCUGAGGCGCGAAAGCGUGGGGGAGCAAACAGGAUUAGAUACCCUGGUAGUCCMCSCCGUAAACG
rnacentral:rRNA from 1 species